CAACUGGGCUCCCUCCGCCCCCCCCCCCCCGCCCAUUUAGCUUGCCAGCAUCUGCUGCACAGAGUAGUGAUGCAGCAUUACCUGCCGAAUGAAUGAGGUUUUACGGAACUUAUUCCUAGGACUCUCCAGUAUCUCUAAUAACUACGAACAUAAUUUUUAAGAGACAAAGACGAUCUCUCCAAAAAAACCCCCAAAAUUUCAAAGUUAGGAAUGCUGCACUACCUACGCCGUGAUCCCUAUGCCACGGCAGGUAAUUUCUGAAAUGCUGUGGCCUGGGGAGGAGGCUGAGACACAAACACACACGUGUACAAGUGCAUGCACAUGUGCACACAUGCACACUCAACAUUCUCCAUGCUUUUUUCGACACCUGUGACAUUCAUGGCUUCAACUGCCAUUCCGACACAGAUGGCCCCCAGAUCCACACCCGUGAGGCUUCCCCUGCAGCCCCACCUGGCUGGCUCUCUUCGCCGGGACGACUGUCCGCAGUCACUUCAGCCUUGAUGACCCAACUACUUCUGAAUUUUGGACUACAAUCAGCCAAGUCUGCACAUGACACACAUGAAGAACCAGCUAGAAAGAGGACCAGAAGAUGAAGGAGAAGAGGAAAGGAAGAGGAAUGAGAAAGAGGAAGAAGCAUAACGACCUGAACAGUGAAACAGAAUGUGGCCACUCGUCUGAGGUCUGAGUCAGGAGCGGGGCCAGGGCUGGAGCGCUUACCAGUAACUUGGUCUGAUAGAUU